rnacentral:rRNA from 1 species
UACAGAGGUCCCGAGCGUUGUUCGGAUUUAUUGGGCGUAAAGGGUGCGUAGGCGGCGGAGUAAGUUGGGUGUGAAAUCCCGGGGCUUAACCUCGGAAUUGCAUUCAAUACUGCUUCGCUAGAGUACUGGAGAGGAGGCUGGAAUUUACGGUGUAGCAGUGAAAUGCGUAGAGAUCGUGAGGAAGACCAGUGGCGAAGGCGGGUCUCUGGACAGUUCCUGACACUGAGGCACGAAGGCCAGGGGAGCAAACGGG